rnacentral:rRNA from 1 species
GCUUAUACUCGACCGUCAGUGGCACGUGCGAUCGUAUAUCGAUUUCUUCGGUAUACGGUCACGAAGCUCUGACGAGUAGGAGGGUCGCGGCGGUGAGCGCAGAAGGGCUGGCCGUGAGGCCGUCUGGAGCCGCCGUCGGUGCAGAUCUUGGUGGUAGUAGCAAAUACUCCAGCGAGGCCCUGGAGGACUGACGUGGAGAAGGGUUUCGUGUGAACAGCCGUUGCACACGAGUCAGUCGAUCCUAAGCCCUAGGCGAAAGCCGAUGUCGAUGUGGUGUAGUUUUAUGUUAUGUUACGAAAAUAUAAUAUUUUACUCGUACACACCCAUUGGGCGAAAGGGAAUCCGGUUCCUAUUCCGGAACCUGGCAGCGGAACCGUCAAAAAGUCGGGC